rnacentral:rRNA from 1 species
CCUACGGGAGGCAGCAGUAGGGAAUCUUUCACAAUGGGCGAAACCCUGAUGGAGCGACGCCGCGUGCGUGAAGAAGGCCUUCGGGUUGUAAACUGCUUUUAUAAGGGAGAAAUAUGAUGGUAACUUAUUAAUAAGGAUCGGCUAACUACGUGCCAGCAGCCGCGGUCAUACGUAGGAUCCGAGCAUUAUCCGGAUUUACUGGGUGUAAAGAGUUGGGUAGGUGGGGUGAUAAUCAGCUGUUGAAAUCUGGGGGGUGAACCAUUCAGACUAUUAGCGAAACUGUAAAGCGAGAGACCGGUAGGGGUAACUGGAAUUUCUAGUGUAGGAGUGAAAUGCGUAGAUAUUAGGAGGAACACCAGUAGCGUAGGCAGGUUACUGGACCGGUACUGACGCUGAGGCACGAAAGCGUAGGGAGCAAACGGGAUUAGAUACCCUUGUAGUC